ensembl:snoRNA snoZ196 Small nucleolar RNA Z196/R39/R59 family
CUGUGAUGAUUAACCAAUCACCAUCUUUCGGCUGA